rnacentral:lncRNA from 10 species
AGCUUAAGCAAACACGUGAUGAGGGAACAAGUAAACAGGCAGGACAAAAUCGUUACUGGAGUAGGAGGCUGUGGACAUCUGAAGAAAUACCACAGAGGAAGCCUAUACUGCCAUCUUUUUCUCAUUUUUUCUGACAGGAUCUAUAUCAAUUCCUUUUUUCCAUUCCUUAAUUCUAUUAUUUUUAACUACAUAAGACAUUUUGUUACAGGAAAACCAGAAAACCCGAAAACCCAGAAGAAAAUGAAAAUCAUUCACAUUCC